rnacentral:lncRNA from 1 species
GUAUUAUUUUUUUGUAUCAAGAUUUGGUUGCUUGUUUUAAGUUCUGCAUUUUCUUUGAUAAGAACAUCUUUAUCCUUAAUUAAUGAAUUAUACUUGAGUUUGGUUAGUUACUUUUAGUUCUUUGUUUUUAACGUUUAUCAUUUUGUAUUCAUCCAUUAAUUUAUUGAAAGCAUCAUACAGUUCAUCGAAAGUAAAAUCUAAAUGUGGUGCGGAUGUUACCUCAUUUUCAUUGGCCAUGAAGCAGAAGUUGGCCUUUUCUACUUGUUCCUCAUCCGAUGAGGAUGAUGAUGUGUCGGAGUCUGAUAGGGUGGUGACAAGGGCUUUCUUCUUCUUGUACUUGCUCUCCUUCUUUAGUAGAGGACACUCAGCUCUGAUGUGUCCCGGCUUCU